GAUGAACGCUGGCGGCGUGCCUAAUACAUGCAAGUCGAGCGAACAGACGAGGCGCUUGCUCCUCUGACGUUAGCGGCGGACGGGUGAGUCACACGUGGAUAACCUACCUAUAAGACUGGGAUAACUUCGGGAAACCGGAGCUAAUACCGGAUACUAUAUUGAACCGCAUGGUUCAAUAGUGAAAGACGGUUUUGCUGUCACUUAUAGAUGGAUCCGCGCCGCAUUAGCUAGUUGGUAAGGUAACGGCUUACCAAGGCAACGAUGCGUAGCCGACCUGAGAGGGGGAUCGGCCACACUGGGACUGAGACACGGUCCAGACUCCUACGGGAGGCAGCAGUAGGGAAUCUUCCGCAAUGGGCGAAAGCCUGACGGAGCAACGCCGCGUGGGUGAUGAAGGUCUUCGGAUCGUAAAACUCUGUUAUUAGGGAAGAACAAAUGUGUAAGUAACUAUGCACGUCUUGACGGUACCUAAUCAGAAAGCCACGGCUAACUACGUG
rnacentral:rRNA from 1 species